UACGUAGGGUGCGAGCGUUGUCCGGAAUUACUGGGCGUAAAGAGCUCGUAGGUGGUUUGUCGCGUUGUCCGUGAAAACUCAACAACUCAAUUGUGGGCGUGCGGGCGAUACGGGCAGACUGGAGUACUGCAGGGGAGACUGGAAUUCCUGGUGUAGCGGUGGAAUGCGCAGAUAUCAGGAGGAACACCGGUGGCGAAGGCGGGUCUCUGGGCAACAACUGACGUGAG
rnacentral:rRNA from 1 species